CAGCCCCCAGUCUGCAACCGAACAAGGAGCAGAGGCUGUAUGUCCUGGGAAGGGAGGAAACAGGAAGCAAAGUGUGCACCUAUCACCAGCCACCACGAGCAGGGGAGGAAGGGGCUUCACUGGCGUCACCCGGGUUGGGGGCGGGGGGGCCGCCCACCUGGGAGGCUGGCAGUGACCUAAUACACGGCGGGCUACUCCGCGAAGCAGCUCCCCGUUCUUCCAGAUGCAGAGAACAUCAGUGAUUUGCCCAAGUUCCUGCAGCCAGUAGGUUUCGUUUUUAAGUUAUCUCUACACCCAGCAUGGGGCUCGAACUUACAACCCCAAGAUCAAGAGUCGCAAUGCUCCACCGACUGAGCCAGCCAGGUGCCCCAACAGGGCACCUUUAUGUGCUCUGGUGCAAACAACGUCCGGUUUAUAUCAUUGAGUGUGUCUCCCCUGCUGCCGUGUGGGUAAGAGAACACAAAGAAAACGCUGGUGAGCGCGUGGGCAAGCCCUGAAAGGCCAAAGAAAGUGGAAAUGGUGUUUGCUUCUGGUGCUGGACCUGGGUACCUGUGGGGCCAGAGGCCGUGAUGGGGAACCUGGUUUUCCGCUGUUUCCUUUUGUACCUUUUGAAUUUUGUAUCACUUGCAAAUAGGACUUCCUACUCAAAACGUAAGUCAAAUUAACUUCUUCCCACUCCUGGAAA